AGCCCAUGGUGAGGGCACCUUCUCAAUAGAUCCUUGUAUCUCUCCCAUUCAUCGUAGAGUGUUUUUAAAUCCAUCUGCACAAAAGAAGAAAAAUCAUUUCGUAAUUU
rnacentral:snoRNA from 1 species